GGUACCCGAAGCAUUUUGGUGAUGCGCUUGCCUGUGAAGCAAGAGAAAGUGGUUCGAUACCAUUCUGGUGCCC
rnacentral:tRNA from 1 species